CCGUCGUACAAGAAAUACGAGCUCCGAACCAAAGAAUCCGCUACACACUCGUACACUGGACACCAUUGCAACAGGUACCCUCCUUUAAUCAAUGAGGCUCGCCUCAUGCAAGGUACAAUAAUUGAACCCAGCGACAUUCAAAUGUCACAACCUUUGAAAUUUUUAAACCUCUCUUAUUAUUCCUUCCAUGGAUCAAGGGCUCCAGCUUUGAGCAAUAAAAAUAGCAUCAUUUCUGGAUACUGGGAAACAUCGCUGUAAGUUCACGGCUAAUUAACAUUAAUGUAAUUGAAACCAGUUACAG
rnacentral:lncRNA from 1 species